AACGAACGCUGGCGGCAGGCUUAACACAUGCAAGUCGAGCGCCCCGCAAGGGGAGCGGCAGACGGGUGAGUAACGCGUGGGAACGUACCCUUUGCUACGGAAUAGCUCCGGGAAACUGGAAUUAAUACCGUAUGUGCCCUACGGGGGAAAGAUUUAUCGGCAAAGGAUCGGCCCGCGUUGGAUUAGCUAGUUGGUGGGGUAAUGGCCUACCAAGGCGACGAUCCAUAGCUGGUCUGAGAGGAUGAUCAGCCACAUUGGGACUGAGACACGGCCCAAACUCCUACGGGAGGCAGCAGUGGGGAAUAUUGGACAAUGGGCGCAAGCCUGAUCCAGCCAUGCCGCGUGAGUGAUGAAGGCCUUAGGGUUGUAAAGCUCUUUUACCCGGGAUGAUAAUGACAGUACCGGGAGAAUAAGCUCCGGCUAACUCCGUGCCAGCAGCCGCGGUAACAC
rnacentral:rRNA from 1 species